GCCGGGCAUGGUGGCUCAUGCCUGUAAUCCCAGCAAUCUGGGAGGCUGAGGUGGGUGGAUCACCUGAGGUCAGGAGUUCGAGACCAGCCUGGCCAACAUGGUGAACGUUCAUCUCUACUAAAAAUACAAAAAAUUAGCCGGGCGUGGUGGUGGAUGCCUAUAAUUCCAGCUACUCAGGAGGCUGAGGCAGGAGAAUCUCUUGAACCCAGGUGGUGGAGGUUGCAGUGAGCUGAGAUCGAGCCAUUGCACUCCAGCCUGGGCAACAAGAGCAAAACUCAUUU
rnacentral:lncRNA from 1 species